AGUCGAGCGGUAACAUUUCUAGCUUGCUAGAAGAUGACGAGCGGCGGACGGGUGAGUAAUACUUAGGAAUCUACCUAGUAGUGGGGGAUAGCUCGGGGAAACUCGAAUUAAUACCGCAUACGACCUACGGGAGAAAGGGGGCAGUUUACUGCUCUCGCUAUUAGAUGAGCCUAAGUCGGAUUAGCUAGAUGGUGGGGUAAAGGCCUACCAUGGCGACGAUCUGUAGCUGGUCUGAGAGGAUGAUCAGCCACACCGGAACUGAGACACGGUCCGGACUCCUACGGGAGGCAGCAGUGGGGAAUAUUGGACAAUGGGGGCAACCCUGAUCCAGCCAUGCCGCGUGUGUGAAGAAGGCCUUUUGGUUGUAAAGCACUUUAAGCAGUGAAGAAGACUCCGUGAUUAAUACCCACGGACGAUGACAUUAGCUGCAGAAUAAGCACCGGCUAACUCUGUGCCAGCAGCCGCGGUAAUACAGAGGGUGCAAGCGUUAAUCGGAAUUACUGGGCGUAAAGCGAGCGUAGGUGGCUUGAUAAGUCAGAUGUGAAAUCCCCGGGCUUAACCUGGGAACUGCAUCUGAUACUGUUAGGCUAGAGUAGGUGAGAGGAAGGUAGAAUUCCAGGUGUAGCGGUGAAAUGCGUAGAGAUCUGGAGGAAUACCGAUGGCGAAGGCAGCCUUCUGGCAUCAUACUGACACUGAGGCUCGAAAGCGUGGGUAGCAAACAGGAUUAAAUACCCUGGUAGUCCACGCCGU
rnacentral:rRNA from 1 species